UCUAGUAGUAGUAGUAGAGAGAAAGAUAAUGGUAUAGAUCUAGAUCCCCAAUUUAAAAAAUACAGAUGUUUCACGCGGCCACAGCACAGCGACUACAUUAGUGAUUACUUUCUAUCUCUAUUAUUUUGACAAGACUCUAGAUAUAUCUAGUUAUCGAACCUAAGCCAGUUCGUUUCGUCACUGGCAAGAAAGAUAACUCCUGAUUUUAGUUUUUGUUCAUUUCAUAAAAGAAUAACCAAUAGAAAAUCUAGAGAACCUAGAUCAUAGACUUAUAUAUAUAUAUAUUAUAG